rnacentral:rRNA from 1 species
AGAGUUUGAUCCUGGCUCAGAACGAACGCUGGCGGCGCGCCUAAUACAUGCAAGUCGAGCGAGAAGGUGUAGCAAUACACUGGUACAGCGGCGAACGGGUGAGGAAUACAUGGGUAACCUACCCUCGAGUGGGGAAUAACUAGCCGAAAGGUUAGCUAAUACCGCAUACGAUUCCCGAAUUGCGGUUCGGGAAAGAAAGCCAUACCGUGGGUAUGGCGCUCCUGGAUGGGCUCAUGUCCUAUCAGCUUGUUGGUGAGGUAACGGCUCACCAAGGCUUCGACGGGUAGCUGGUCUGAGAGGACGAUCAGCCACACUGGCACUGCGACACGGGCCAGACUCCUACGGGAGGCAGCAGUAAGGAAUAUUGCGCAAUGGGCGACAGCCUGACGCAGCGACGCCGCGUGGGGGAUGAAGGUCUUCGGAUUGUAAACCCCUUUCGGGAGGGAAGAGGGAAUGGGGUAACCCAUUCGGACGGUACCUCCAGAAGCAGCCACGGCUAACUUCGUGCCAGCAGCCGCGGUAAUACGAAGGUGGCAAGCGUUGUUCGGAUUCACUGGGCGUACAGGGAGCGUAGGCGGUUGGGUAAGCCCUCCGUGAAAUCUCCGGGCCUAACCCGGAAAGUGCAGAGGGGACUGCUCGGCUUGAGGACGGGAGAGGAGCGCGGAAUUCCCGGUGUAGCGGUGAAAUGCGUAGAGAUCGGGAGGAAGGCCGGUGGCGAAGGCGGCGCUCUGGAACGUUUCUGACGCUGAGGCUCGAAAGCGUGGGGAGCAAACAGGAUUAGAUACCCUGGUAGUCCACGCCUUAAACUAUGGAUACUAAGUGUCGGCGGGUUACCGCCGGUGCCGCAGCUAACGCAUUAAGUAUCCCGCCUGGGAAGUACGGCCGCAAGGUUGAAACUCAAGGAAUUGACGG